UUUAUGACAUCUGCCCAGAAAUUCAGAAAGAUCAUGAUUACACCAAUAACACAUCGGCUAAUGUUGAGAUAAAAGAAUCGUUCCCUCUUAGCAGAAAUGUACUAUGCAUCUGUUGCUCAUCAGGUAUAGGGAUUGUAAAGGUGAACAAUAGCUAUUUUGAUUGUUUAACAUGUAGUUCUACUUCCUGUGUGCAUGUAAGAGAAGUCCAUUCGAUUUUUGACUCAGAAAGUAAUGACCUAGGUGAAGAAUUACUGAACUGGAGGAGCAAUCACACUGACAAGGAAAAGGAAUUGAAAGUAAAAAUCAAAUGUUUAUCCUCUAAGAAAAUACCAUUUGAUUUCACUGAAGACAUUU